GUAGGGAAUCUUCCACAAUGGGCGCAAGCCUGAUGGAGCAACACCGCGUGAGUGAAGAAGGGUUUCGGCUCGUAAAACUCUGUUGUUGAAGAAGAACGUGCGUGAGAGUAACUGUUCACGCAGUGACGGUAUUCAACCAGAAAGUCACGGCUAACUACGUGCCAGCAGCCGCGGUAAUACGUAGGUGGCAAGCGUUAUCCGGAUUUAUUGGGCGUAAAGCGAGCGCAGGCGGUUUUCUAAGUCUGAUGUGAAAGCCUUCGGCUUAACCGGAGAAGUGCAUCGGAAACUGGAUAACUUGAGUGCAAGAGAGGACAGUGGAACUCCAUGUGUAGCGGUGGAAUGCGUAGAUAUAUGGAAGAACACCAGUGGCGAAGGCGGCUGUCUAGCUUGCAACUGACGCUGAGGCUCGAAAGCAUGGGUAGCGAACAGGAUUAGAUACCCUAGUAGUCC
rnacentral:rRNA from 1 species